AACGCGUGAGAAUCUGCCUUCAGGUCUGGGACAACCACUGGAAACGGUGGCUAAUACCGGAUGUGCCGAGAGGUGAAAGGUUAACUGCCUGAAGAUGAGCUCGCGUCUGAUUAGCUAGUAGGUAGUGUAAAGGACUACCUAGGCGACGAUCAGUAGCUGGUCUGAGAGGACGAUCAGCCACACUGGGACUGAGACACGGCCCAGACUCCUACGGGAGGCAGCAGUGGGGAAUUUUCCGCAAUGGGCGAAAGCCUGACGGAGCAAUACCGCGUGAGGGAGGAAGGCUCUUGGGUCGUAAACCUCUUUUCUCAGGGAAGAACACAAUGACGGUACCUGAGGAAUAAGCAUCGGCUAACUCCGUGCCAGCAGCCGCGGUAAUACGGAGGAUGCAAGCGUUAUCCGGAAUGAUUGGGCGUAAAGCGUCCGCAGGUGGCUAUGUAAGUCUGCUGUUAAAGAGUCUAGCUCAACUAGAUAAGAGCAGUGGAAACUACAUGGCUAGAGUGCGUUCGGGGCAGAGGGAAUUCCUGGUGUAGCGGUGAAAUGCGUAGAGAUCAGGAAGAACACCGGUGGCGAAGGCGCUCUGCUAGGCCGCAACUGACACUGAGGGACGAAAGCUAGGGGAGCGAAUGGGAUUAGAUA
rnacentral:rRNA from 1 species